ensembl:lncRNA
CGUCUCUCUGGUUUGUUUUUGGCCCACUUUGCACCAGAAAGAGGAAACCAGCGGCUGAACAACAGCAGCGCUUGAUAAGCUGUUGUUAGAAUGUAUUUAUUAUUACUUUCUACUCGAGGAUCUUUUGUAGCUGACGGCUGGUAACUGUGCAGGGGCGGAUCUAGCAAAGUUUAGCCAGGGGGGCCGAUAGGGCAUUAACAGGGAAAAGAGGGCACAAAGACAUACUUUUCUUUCUUAUUCUCAUUUAAAAUGUCUAGCUUUUAUACUUUUUCCUUUGGGAAGGUACCAUCUGUGCAGUCUGCAAUUUUGUUGAAGAAAGAUGUUGAAUCUAUUUAAUAUUUCUUGAAAAAUAAUUGAUUUCUGUGCAUUUUUUUUCACACUGCAUCAAAUUAAGGUUGAUUACGUCGAUUAAGCAUCAUGAGGUGGAGCGUGAGGGGUGGUUCCCUAUUUUUUAUUUAUUUAUUUUUGUUGUUCCUGGGAGUUGGAACCCUAUUAGUUAGGUUGCUUAAUAUUUACGCUAAGUACUCUUUAAAAUACCAGAAUAGGGAGGAUGGUGUAGGUUUAAGUUUAUUAGAUUGAUCAGUAUUGCUGAACUAUGAAAUUUUUUUUUUUUGCAUACAGGUAUAACAGAAUAGCUUUAGUGUAGUUGUUGUUUUAAACUUGAGUAUGAACUUAUACAAAAUGCAGCAAGAUAUUUAAAAAAAAAAACAGUUUUGUUGAUUAAAAAACACUAUAUCGGAUUCAUAUCGGUAUCGGCAGAUAUCCAAAUUUAUGAUAUCGGAAUCGGUAUCGGACAUAAAAAAGUGGUAUCGUGCCAUCUCUAGAUGUGAGAAUAAAUUCUCAGAAUGUUCUCCUGUAAUAAUCAGAUUUUCACAAAAACUAUUACAAAACAACUUUUUUUCAGGGACCAUGCAUUGAAAAAGUCACCAACUGAGGUCCAACAUUUUAUUACUUUACCAUUAGUUUAUUUAUAUUCAGAUUUUUAUUACAUUUUCUUUUAAGUUUGGUUAGUGUGUCUUAGUGACAGGAAUUAAGAGAGGCCAC